rnacentral:rRNA from 1 species
GAUGAACGCUGGCGGCGUGCCUAAUACAUGCAAGUCGAGCGAACGGACGAGAAUCUUGCUUCUCUGAUGUUAGCGGCGGACGGGUGAGUAACACGUGGAUAACCUACCUAUAAGACUGGGAUAACUUCGGGAAACCGGAGCUAAUACCGGAUGAUAUUUUGAACCGCAUGGUUCAAAAGUGAAAGACGGUCUUGCUGUCACUUAUAGAUGGAUCCGCGCUGCAUUAGCUAGUUGGUAAGGUAACGGCUUACCAAGGCAACGAUGCAUAGCCGACCUGAGAGGGUGAUCGGCCUCACUGGAACUGAGACACGGUCCAGACUCCUACGGGAGGCAGCAGUAGGGAAUCUUCCGCAAUGGGCGAAAGCCUGACGGAGCAACGCCGCGUGAGUGAUGAAGGUCUUCGGAUCGUAAAACUCUGUUAUUAGGGAAGAACAUAUGUGUAAGUAACUGUGCACAUCUUGACGGUACCUAAUCAGAAAGCCACGGCUAACUACGUG